UACCAGUGGCUGCGUACCGCCCGACACUAGCAAGGGCCCGGAGGCGACUCAUACCCCACCCCCACCUCAUUGCGCUGGCCGAUACGCGUCAGACCAAAUCCUGGCUUCUGGAUCUAUGACUUCGCUGGGCCUGAGAACCAACUGUGCGGUCACUUCGCCUCCCUCAGCUGACGACUGUCCACUUGUGAGUGGCAGCAAUACCGCCUGCCAGAUCUUUGCCUCCCGAGGACAUCAGCGUAGCCUUGUGAGCAGAGCUUGGACCCAAGCUGCAGCCUCUCCCCGACCUUCGGGAGCCACACACCUCUUUUCACUGCACCUUAUACCGUGUGAUCGCCUCAGGUGCCCUUGGGGACUCUGCUGUGUGUAAAUCACCAUUCGGCCGUGUUUUCCUCUUCUACUUCUGUCGUUUCUUUCCAAGGUAAACAAAUGUCAAAAAUAGCAACUGUGCCAGUGAAGGGCAUGUGUCAUGCUGAAUCAUCAGUGACUGUGCUUUGGGCACUUUACACUUGCAGUCUUUGGUCGAGUGGGAGCCCAGGGCCUGAGUGUGGAGCACAGUAGGGUGGGGAGAGGUGUGCGCAGGUCCUAAGGGCUGGGUCCUAAAGGCAGGUCUGUGAGGGCUGGGAAUGGGCCAAUUCUUGGAAGUGGGCUCCACUGAGCCCGGGUCCUCUUCUCCCUUGAUCUCUGGGCAAGAAAGAUGCCCUUCCUAUUGUUACUUAGUGGCGCAGAGACCAGCAAUGCUUUCCAGGCUCUUAUUGUCUCGCUCAAUGAAUUGGACAGACCAGUUUGUGAAUGUGAAAGAUUAACAUUUAUUUAAGGCACAAAGAAGAAGAAAAGGAAAAGAAGCACAAAAGAAGUCCUCAAGGAGAAAAGGUUGCUUGGAAGGAAAAAAGAGAAGAUAUGUCCUGCAACAGAACAGAACUGCAAUAACUAUACUCCAGUAGUGCAAAGUCAUUUGCUGCCAUCUUUUUAUGUCUUCAGUAGUUGAUGCAGGUGGUCCACUCAAUCCUGUGCUGGAAGAUUGGGAUCAGGUGCGAGGCUCAGCUUGUCAGAAGAUUGAUAUUAGGUGUCAGGUUCAGCAUGUUCUUAUGUCAGAAGAUUGGCACCAGGUGCUUGGCUUGGCUUGAUCUUGUGUCAGGCUCGGGAGCUGCUGCUCUGCCCAUGGUAACAAGUCUCUUCAACUGGCUGGUCGUGCCAGUUGACAACCAUGUUGUCAUGCCCUAGUCUUCUGCCUCAUUUCCCACUGAGAGACACAGAUAAAUCUCUAUAAUUCCUUCUGGAGUGCUUGAGAGAGUAGAGGUCUCUGUCUUCAGAUAGCUACUUUCUACUGAAAAGGACCAUGGGCCCUACCUACUGGAGACUAUGUAUUAACCACCUUAUGUGAUGUGGGUUACUGGCUGGACUGAAACGUAUAAGGAAUUGGUGUCUAUAUAUGAAGAAGUGUUGAGCUGCCCAUUUAACAGAAGAGAGCUUGAUGAACUUGUCAGGAGCCUGUCCUUGAAGCAGAACUGGGGUCCUGCUUUCUAAAGAGGAGCCUAAGGUCUUCCAGUGCUCCGCAGUACUACUCUGUCAGAUGGUGUUCAGAUACGGCAGCAACGAUGGAAAUCUAAAGUACUUACCUGAAUUUGAAACAAAGAGGAAAUCCAUCCUGAGUGCCCUAUGUUCCCUGAAAUCGAGGCUUUAGCUCUUAUCUAUAAAAGCACAAAGCACAAUCCAUGUCCAUUCACAAGACUUACAAAAAUAAAAUACCAACUUUUCAAAUUGGAAGAAAGAAAAUAAAGUGGCUCAAGCAACUUUUCAAAAUACUGUGACAAGAUACUUCAAAAUACUUCUCUCUCCAGGUGUCCUCGUGAGAGUGGCAUCAUCUUUAAAUCCUGUGUGGCAAUCCCUGACACACUGCGGUGAUGCUCAGGGAAGA
ensembl:lncRNA